GACCCUGCCCUGCCCGCUCGGAUCGCGCGGGGCCGCGGCGCGGCGGGGCCCGACGACCGUGCGGCCGCCCCGGUGCCCCGCUGGAGGCCGGGAGCGGCCGGGAUCGGGUUAUGAACCUUUCUGCAGCAAGAUUUGAAGCAGCCAGAUUCCAGUUUAAAUCCAAGUCCCUAGGACUCACUCGUGAUUUCCGGUGUUCUGAACAGGGCAGCUGGGACAGAAAUCUACUUUGGUGAAUCUGAGACACCUGGGUCUCUUUUAUUGUCAAAGAGGGAAUAUGGCCUAAUUAACCAUGCUGUUGUCAUUGUCAACACCCAUGGUACAUCUCCUGAGCCAACAAAUAGCCCUUGCAGUGGAUGUCAGUGGCUACAGAACUGGACUGCUGAGAAACUUCUUGGAGUUUCCUUUCCUUUUGCUUCCGUGGGAGCAAGAUCUUCUCAAACCACCCUUAGCUAGCAUGAACUGCUCUUCUCUAGAGUGGUGGAUCCUUAACAGGCAUGGUUGGUCUGUUCCCACUUCGUUUCAGCUGUGCUAUCCAGCUUAUCCAGUGAUACAGCUUUCUACAGCUUGGUACCUCUCAAGUACGAGCUCUACCAUACAUCUAUGUUCUUGCUGCUGCCCCCUGUAGCACAUUCCAUGUGCUUUGGUCUUCCCAUCCCUGCCUGGGCUCUCUUCUGCAGGGAGCUGCUGGUGAGUAACCUGCAUCCACUGUCCUGAUUUUGUUUUCUCUGCCAUUCAUUGAUGGGUGAAUACCUUGUGCAAGUUCCAUACCCACAUGUCUGGAAAUUGUUCUCUGUGUCUGGUUGUGAGUGAGAUCUGCAUUUUUGGUUCAUCUUCCAUUUCCUGGCUCUGAUUCUCCUCCCAUUCCUGAGCAGCAUACAUGGCUCUGCUGCACACAUGAAAAUUGUGCUGGGGCCAGGCUAGAGUGAGCCAGGAACAUCCAGCCCCCAAGUGCUUUACACUCCUCACAGGGACCUGAAGGAAAGUGGCUGGUGUCCUGCAUGUGCAAAUGCAGGUGAGUGACAAAUGAGCCUGUUGCCCAUUUUUUGGUGAAGUGAGUAAAGCAGGUAUAUGCAGACAGGCCGGGUUCUACUGAGGGACCCUCCUUUGUGCAUGUAGCUGCUCCAGUUUGUCCGCAGUGCCACAUUACUGCCUGUGGGCCUCUGCCCUCAUCCUGUAGUGAGAGAAGAUGAGCAGCUGGCAGGAAGGUAGCAAGAAUGUGCUACUUAAACAUAGGUUGCUAAUGGCUGUGUUCCCAGUCUCCAGAUGUGUGGCUGCUCUGGGAUGCUGGGGCCUCCCUCUGUGCUGUGGCAGACAAUUCCAUUAUUAGCUGAGUGGCAGCUUUCCAUAUGCCAACACUCAUGACUGCAGGACUGUUUAAUUUUCACUACUCUGAAGUAUUUAAUUUGUCAGUUGUUAGCUUCUGCUUUGUAAAGAUCAAAUGCCAGUGUCCUUACCUAGAUUUUUACUCAGUUAGAGGUGGAGCAUGGAUCCUGUAUGAACAGACCAUCAGACCUAGUCAGGGUAAGGGGCAGGAUCAGAGGCAGCAUAAGGUCUUGAAUUCAGAAAAUUAGUCACUUCUAGGCUAAUAAGUAGAAACCCCUUGUAUUCAAGGAUGGGUGUCUAAUCCUCAUUCUUCUGUUAAUUUUUAUUUGGAGAAAUGAAAAAUCAGUACUGCUAAAACUACUGCCCACUCACAUUUUGAAGCUGGACUGUGCAGAUGAGGUGUGCCUGACUAAAGAUUUUGGCCCCUCUCUAGUGUGGAGAGCUGCUGCUGUGAGCAGAUCAUCCUGCAAUUCACUGCUGGGGGCCUCUCUUUAAUUAUUGAGUGCCAGAAUAGAUGUAUAUUGAGUUACCUUGCUGGCAAAUAUAAUCUCCAGCAUCUUGUGUAACUGCAAUAUUCUCAGUUUUCCUACCUGCAUAACAUGGUCUUCUUCAAAGAAUCUAAAAGAAGACAAAAUAUGGUUUUAUAUAUUGCUUGUCUAGUAGUACAUGUUUCCAGAGAACAACAGGUUAUACUCUGGCUUUGAGGAUAGCCUUCCCUGGCAGCAUAGAUUGCUCUUAUAUACAGUCAAGCCUGCACUUGGAUGUGCAGUAGAAUGAAGCAGGAUGUGCAUGGUGCACUUUUAAACCAACCAACCAAACCAAAAAACCAACCUCCAAAAAAUUCAGAAAAAAGAGAGAGCAGCCUAAGCCAGCACAGCUUUAUGAGAGGAAAGUCCUGCUUAUCAAACCUGAUUUCCUUUUAUGACAAAGUAACCACCCUAGCUGAUCAAGGAGAACUGCUUGAUGUAAUCUUUUGAGAUUUCAGUAAAGCUGUCAAUACUGUCUCUCAUAAUAUCCUUCUGGACAAUCUGUCCAUCUCACAGCUGGAUAAACUUGUCAUGGGAUGGGUGAGCAGCUGGCUCCCGUGUCAGAUGCAAAGGGUGGCAUGAGUCUGGCACCAGUCACUCAGUGGAGUGCAGGGCUCCACCCUUGGUCCUGUGUUCUUCAGCAUCUUCAUAAAUUACUUGGAUGCAGGACUGGGUGGGAUACUAAGCAAGUUUGCAGAUUAUACAAAACUGAAAGGAGUUGUUGACUUCCUGGAAGUCAGGGAGGCCUGCAGAGAGACCUCAACAAAAUAAAGGACUAGGCAAUCACCA
ensembl:lncRNA